UUUUAGAUUUACCCAACAUGUGUGACGAUAUAUUCUGUGACGUCAUUUAGUCCUUUUUAGAAUUUCCUCGCAGCAAGCAAGCUGUUUAAAUUUUGUAAGCGGUAAACUUGAAAACCCGCCCUCCCACUCCUUUUUAUUGAACAAGAUACUGCUCUUUUGUAUUUAUUUUUCAGGUUUGUGUCGGUGAUAGUGAUGAUACAGAUUUGACUGAUGAUGUUAACUCGUUUGCUGUGAGAAAAGUGACUUUUAAUUUUGAACUUUGAGCAUCAUAAAUAUAUUCCCGUAAAUGGCAGAAUUCGCUGCAUAGAAUCUUAAUGUUAACUAUGAAAUUUUAGGUUUUUGGAUAAUAC
rnacentral:lncRNA from 1 species